rnacentral:rRNA from 1 species
GACGUAGGGCGCAAGCGUUGUCCGGAUUUAUUGGGCGUAAAGAGCUCGUAGGCGGUCUGUCGCGUCGGCUGUGAAAACUGGAGGCUCAACCUCCAGCCUGCAGUGGGUACGGGCAGACUUGAGUUCGGCAGGGGAGACUGGAAUUCCUGGUGUAGCGGUGAAAUGCGUAGAUAUCCGGAGGAACACCGGUGGCGAAGGCGGCUCCUGGACCGACACUGACGCUGAGGCGCGAAAGCUAGGGGAGCAAACGGG